rnacentral:lncRNA from 10 species
GGACGACGAUCCUCUGUGCAAAUGCCCCCCCCCACGCGCUCCCUGCCUCCCCCGCCUCCUCUCCGGGGUUUCGCCGUUCCUCCUGCAGGCGCUCAGACGUAGUUAAAUGUGGCCUUAAGGACUAACCGAUCGCUCUGGUGUUUGCUCUUUCGGCGGAAGUGAUAGAGUAAGGGGAACAUUAAACAUGAGGUUCUUUUGGCGGGGGUGAGGGGUGUCGCGCACGCGACUCUAGUGGCCCUGACUGAAGCCAAGGACAGCAGCCUGUUCCCCGGGAGGGAAGAGUUGUCGAUCCGUUGGGGAAACGCCCUCCCGGGCUGGGCUCUCCGGGAAGAGGUAUUUACAUUUGGAGAUUCUGGUUUGGUGAGGAAAUUACCAGAGAACUAUUAAAGACUUGGAUGCUCUUCUCGGCUUUGCUAUUAA